rnacentral:rRNA from 1 species
UACGUAGGGUGCUAGCGUUAUCCGGAUUUACUGGGCGUAAAGGGUGCGUAGGUGGUCUUUCAAGUCGGUGGUUAAAGCCUACGGCUCAACCGUAUUAAGCCGCCGAAACUGGAAGACUUGAGUGCAUGAGAGGAAAGCGGAAUUCUCGGUGUAGCGGUGAAAUGCGUAGAUAUUGAGAAGAACACCAGUAGCGAAGGCGGCUUACUAGACUGGAACUGACACUGAGGUACGAAAGCGUGGGGAGCAAACAGG